UACGAAGGGGACUAGCGUUGUUCGGAUUUACUGGGCGUAAAGCGCGCGUAGGCGGAUCGCUAAGUCAGGGGUGAAAUCCCAGGGCUCAACCCUGGAACUGCCUUUGAUACUGACGGUCUGGAGAUCGGGAGAGGUUGGUGGAAUUCCGAGUGUAGAGGUGAAAUUCGUAGAUAUUCGGAAGAACACCAGUGGCGAAGGCGACGCACUGGCCCAUUACUGACGCUGAGGCGCGAAAGCGUGGGGAGCAAACAGG
rnacentral:rRNA from 1 species